AGUGAACGCUGGCGGUAGGCCUAACACAUGCAAGUCGAACGGCAGCACAGUAAGAGCUUGCUCUUACGGGUGGCGAGUGGCGGACGGGUGAGGAAUACAUCGGAAUCUACUUUUUCGUGGGGGAUAACGUAGGGAAACUUACGCUAAUACCGCAUACGACCUACGGGUGAAAGCAGGGGAUCUUCGGACCUUGCGCGAUUGAAUGAGCCGAUGUCGGAUUAGCUAGUUGGCGGGGUAAAGGCCCACCAAGGCGACGAUCCGUAGCUGGUCUGAGGGGAUGGUCAGCCAAGCUGGAACUGAGACACGGUCCAGACUCCUACGGGAGGCAGCAGUGGGGAAUAUUGGACAAUGGGCGCAAGCCUGAUCCAGCCAUACCGCGUGGGUGAAGAAGGCCUUCGGGUUGUAAAGCCCUUUUGUUGGGAAAGAAAAGCAGCAGGUUAAUACCCCGCUGUUCUGACGGUACCCAAAUAAUAAGCACCGGCUAACUUCGUG
rnacentral:rRNA from 1 species